rnacentral:rRNA from 1 species
CAGAACGAACGCUGGCGGCAGGCUUAACACAUGCAAGUCGAACGAAGUCUUCGGACUUAGUGGCAGACGGGUGAGUAACGCGUGGGAACCUACCCUUUGGUACGGAACAACAGUUGGAAACGACUGCUAAUACCGUAUGCGCCCUACGGGGGAAAGAUUUAUCGCCGAAGGAUGGGCCCGCGUUGGAUUAGCUAGUUGGUAGGGUAACGGCCUACCAAGGCGACGAUCCAUAGCUGGUCUGAGAGGAUGAUCAGCCACACUGGGACUGAGACACGGCCCAGACUCCUACGGGAGGCAGCAGUGGGGAAUAUUGGACAAUGGGGGCAACCCUGAUCCAGCCAUGCCGCGUGAGUGAUGAAGGCCCUAGGGUUGUAAAGCUCUUUCAGCGAGGAGGAUAAUGACGUUACUCGCAGAAGAAGCCCCGGCUAACUUCGUGCCAGCAGCCGCGGUAAUACGAAGGGGGCUAGCGUUGUUCGGAAUCACUGGGCGUAAAGCGCACGUAGGCGGACUUUUAAGUCAGGGGUGAAAUCCCGGGGCUCAACCCCGGAACUGCCUUUGAUACUGGAAGUCUUGAGUCCGAGAGAGGUGAGUGGAACUCCGAGUGUAGAGGUGAAAUUCGUAGAUAUUCGGAAGAACACCAGUGGCGAAGUGCGCGC